AUUGAACGCUGGCGGAAGGCCUAACACAUGCAAGUCGACCGGAAACAGGAGAAGGCUUGCUUCUUUCCGACGGGGGGGGGGAGGGGGGGGAAAUGUCGGGGAAACUGCCGAUUGGGGGGGGUAAACACCUGAAAAGGGUGGCUAUAACGCCAAAAGGUGCCAAACCAAAGAGGGGGGCCCUUCGGGCCCCUUGCAAUCGAUUUGGCCCAGAUGGGAUUAGCUUGUUGGUGGGGUAACGGCUCACCAAGGCGACGAUCCCUAGCUGGUCUGAGAGGAUGACCAGCCACACUGGAACUGAGACACGGUCCAGACUCCUACGGGAGGCAGCAGUGGGGAAUAUUGCACAAUGGGCGCAAGCCUGAUGCAGCCAUGCCGCGUGUAUGAAGAAGGCCUUCGGGUUGUAAAGUACUUUCAGCGGGGAGGAAGGGAGUAAAGUUAAUACCUUUGCUCAUUGACGUUACCCGCAGAAGAAGCACCGGCUAACUCCGUG
rnacentral:rRNA from 1 species